UACGUAGGGUGCAAGCGUUGUCCGGAAUUAUUGGGCGUAAAGAGCUCGUAGGCGGUUUGUCGCGUCGGCUGUGAAAACCUGGGGCUCAACCCCGGGCCUGCAGCCGAUACGGGCAAACUAGAAUUCGGUAGGGGAGACGUGGAAUUCCUGGUGGUAGCGGUGAAAUGCGCAGAUAUCAGGAGGAACACCGGUGGCGAAGGCGGGUCUCUGGGCCGAUAUUGACGCUGAGGAGCGAAAGCGUGGGGAGCAAACAGG
rnacentral:rRNA from 1 species